UCCUGGGUAGUCAGUGGGUCAUUGCGGGUCGCAGCAUGUCCCCAUGAUGUGGAUGGCGUGUCCGCUUUAGGCCAAGAGUGAUCAUUGACGCGUUGCCGUAGGGCAGUAUGUUGAGAUCACUAAGGAAGGGUGCACC
rnacentral:SRP_RNA from 1 species